UACGUAGGUGGCAAGCGUUAUCCGGAAUUACUGGGUGUAAAGGGAGCGCAGGCGGGAUAACAAGUCAGCGGUGAAAUUUAUGGGCUCAACCCAUAAACUGCCGUUGAAACUGUUAUUCUUGAGUGGAGUAGAGGCAGGCGGAAUUCCGAGUGUAGCGGUGAAAUGCGUAGAUAUUCGGAGGAACACCAGUGGUGAAGGCGGCCUGCUGGGCUCUAACUGACGCUGAGGCUCGGAAGUGUGGGGAGCAAACAGG
rnacentral:rRNA from 1 species